rnacentral:tRNA from 1 species
AGAGGCUUAGGAUAAUUUCAAACCAAGGGCCUUCAAAGCUCUAAACAGGGGUUGUAACCCCUAGCCUCUG